AUUGAACGCUGGCGGCAGGCCUAACACAUGCAAGUCGAGCGGAUGAGAGGAGCUUGCUUCUCGAUUCAGCGGCGGACGGGUGAGUAAUGCCUAGGAAUCUGCCUGGUAGUGGGGGACAACGUUUCGAAAGGAACGCUAAUACCGCAUACGUCCUACGGGAGAAAGCAGGGGACCUUCGGGCCUUGCGCUAUCAGAUGAGCCUAGGUCGGAUUAGCUAGUUGGUGAGGUAAUGGCUCACCAAGGCGACGAUCCGUAACUGGUCUGAGAGGAUGAUCAGUCACACUGGAACUGAGACACGGUCCAGACUCCUACGGGAGGCAGCAGUUGGGAAUAUUUGACAAUGGGCGAAAGCCUGAUCCAGCCAUGCCGCGUGUGUGAAGAAGGUCUUCGGAUUGUAAAGCACUUUAAGUUGGGAGGAAGGGUUGUAGAUUAAUACUCUGCAAUUUUGACGUUACCGACAGAAUAAGCACCGGCUAACUCUGUGCCAGCCGCCGCCGUAAAAC
rnacentral:rRNA from 1 species